rnacentral:rRNA from 1 species
UACGGGGGGGGCAAGCGUUGUUCGGAAUUACUGGGCGUAAAGGGCCAGUAGGCGGCCAACUAAGUCCGACGGUGAAAUCCCAAGGCUUAACCUUGGAACUGCGUCGGAUACUGGAUGGCUUGAAUUCGGGAGAGGGAUGCAGAAUUCCAGGUCGUAGCGGUGAAAUGCGUGAGAUAUCAGGAGGAACACCUGCGGUGUAGACGGCUUACUGGACCAUAACUGACGCUGAGGCACGAAAGCGUGGGUAGCAAACAGG